rnacentral:misc_RNA from 1 species
GAUGAAGAACGUAGCGAAAUGCGAUACGUAAUGUGAAUUGCAGAAUUCAGUGAAUCAUCGAAUCUUUGAACGCACAUUGCACUCUCUGGUAUUCCGGAGAGUAUGCUUGUUUGAGUAUCAGUAAACACCUCAAAUCUCUUGUUUCUUGUGAAUAAGAGAAUUGGACUUGAGCAAUCCCAACUCUUGCAAAAGAGGCGGGUUGCUUGAAAUGCAGGUGCAGCUGGACAUUCUUCUGAGCUAAAAGCAUAUUUAUUUAGUCCCGUAAAACGGAUUAUUACUUUUGCUGCAGCUAACAUAAAGGUUGAAUGGCCAAUAUGGCUGACUGAUGCAGGAUUAACAGAGAAUUUAUUCUUUGUAAACUCGAUCUCAAAUCAAGUAAGACUACCCGCUGAACUUAAGCAUAUAAUAAGCGGAGGA